rnacentral:rRNA from 1 species
UACGUAGGGGGCAAGCGUUGUCCGGAAUCAUUGGGCGUAAAGAGCGUGUAGGCGGCCCGAUAAGUCCGCUGUGAAAGUCCAGGGCUCAACCCUGGGAUGCCGGUGGAUACUGUCGGGCUCGAGUCCGGAAGAGGAGUGUGGGAAUUCCUGGUGGUAGCGGUGAAAUGCGCAGAUAUCAGGAAGAACACCCGCGGCGAAGGCGGCUCUCUGGGACGGUACUGACGCUGAGACGCGAAAGCGUGGGGAGCGAACAGG